rnacentral:rRNA from 1 species
GACGAACGCUGGCGGCGUGCUUAACACAUGCAAGUCGAACGGAAAGGCCCUGCUUGCAGGGUGCUCGAGUGGCGAACGGGUGAGUAACACGUGGGUGAUCUGCCCCUUACUUUGGGAUAAGCCUGGGAAACUGGGUCUAAUACUGGAUAGGACCAUGCUGUAGGUGGUGUGGUGGAAAGAUUAGUUUCGGUAAGGGAUGAGCUCGCGGCCUAUCAGCUUGUUGGUGGGGUAAUGGCCUACCAAGGCGUCGACGGGUAGCCGGCCUGAGAGGGUGGACGGCCACAUUGGGACUGCGAUACGGCCCAGACGCCUACGGGAGGCAGCAGUGGGGAAUAUUGCACAAUGGGCGCAAGCCGGAUGCAGCGACGCCGCGUGGGGGAUGACGGCCUUCGGGUUGUAAACUCCUUCCAGCCAUGACGAAGCCCUUGUGGUGACGGUAGUGGUAGAAGAAGCACCGGCUAACUACGUG